UACGUAGGUGGCAAGCGUUUGUCCGGAAUUAUUGGGCGUAAAGCGCGCGCAGGCGGUUCCUUAAGUCUGAUGUGAAAGCCCACGGCUCAACCGUGGAGGGUCAUUGGAAACUGGGGAACUUGAGUGCAGAAGAGGAGAGUGGAAUUCCACGUGUAGCGGUGAAAUGCGUAGAGAUAUGGAGGAACACCAGUGGCGAAGGCGACUUUCUGGUCUGUAGCUGACACUGAGGCGCGAAAGCGUGGGGAGCAAACAGG
rnacentral:rRNA from 1 species